rnacentral:tRNA from 1 species
GUGGAUAUAGCUCAUUUGUAGAGCGAAUGCUUAGCAUGCACGGUCCUGGGUUCAAUCCCCAGUACCUGCA